AUGAGGAAAAUCAAUGUCGACAAAUACUUGAUAUCGGCAUUGGUGGAGCGUUGGCGGCCCGAGACAAAUAGUUUUCACCUACCUGUAGGAGAAACAACUAUUACGUUGCAAGAUGUUAGUUGUUUGUGCAGGUUGCCUAUCCAUGGUAAA
rnacentral:rRNA from 1 species